AUUGAACGCUGGCGGCAUGCUUUACACAUGCAAGUCGAACGGUAACAGGCCGCAAGGUGCUGACGAGUGGCGAACGGGUGAGUAAUGCAUCGGAACGUGCCCAGUCGUGGGGGAUAACGCAGCGAAAGCUGUGCUAAUACCGCAUACGAUCUAUGGAUGAAAGCGGGGGACCGUAAGGCCUCGCGCGAUUGGAGCGGCCGAUGUCAGAUUAGGUAGUUGGUGGGGUAAAGGCCUACCAAGCCGACGCUCUGUAGCUGGUCUGCGAGGACGACCAGCCACACUGGGACUGAGACCCGGCCCAAGCGCCGACGGGAGGCAGCAGUGGGGAGCUUUGGACAAUGGGCGCAAGCCUGAUCCAGCAAUGCCGCGUGCAGGAAGAAGGCCUUCGGGUUGUAAACUGCUUUUGUACGGAACGAAACGGUCUGGGUUAAUACCCUGGGCUAAUGACGGUACCGUAAGAAUAAGCACCGGCUAACUACGUGCCAGCAGCCGCCGUAA
rnacentral:rRNA from 1 species